GCUCUGCAUAGAGCUGCUUUUGAUGGCAAAGUGAAGGAAGCUGAAAACCUCAUCGCUGAAGGAGCCGACCUCAAUAUUGUAAAUAAUUUUAAUGAGACAGCUCUGCAUUAUGCUGCUAAGAAAGGUCACGAGAGUGUCGCCGAACUUCUCAUCCGCAAAGGAGCCAAUCUUCAUAGUGAAACUAAUACGAAAGAGACACCUCUUCAUUGUGCUGCUUCCCAUGGUCACGGAGGUGUCGCUGAUGUGCUUCUCAAAAAUGGAGCUAACGCUAAUAUUGGAAAUAAUUUGAAUACCACAGCUCUUCAUUUAGCUGCUGACUAUGGUCACAAAAAUGUCGCCGAGGUUCUCCUUAACAAUGGCGCCAGUAUGGAUAUCAUGAAUAAUUUUAAUAAUACAC